rnacentral:rRNA from 1 species
ACCUGGCUCAGANCGANCGCUGCCGGCGUGCCUAACACAUGCAAGUCGAACGGAGAUNUCAGCAAUGGAAUNUUAGUGGCGAACGGGUGAGUAACGCGUAGACAACCUACCUUCUAGCUGGGGACAACACUGCGAAAGUGGUGCUAAUACCGAAUGUUGUAUUUUGAAUGCAUAUUUGAAAUACUAAAGGUGGCCUCUAUUUAUAAGCUAUCACUAGAAGAUGGGUCUGCGUCUGAUUAGCUAGUUGGUGAGGUAACGGCUCACCAAGGCGACGAUCAUGUAGCCGGUCUGAGAGGAUGAACGGCCACNCUGGGACUGAGACACGGCCCAGACUCCUACGGGAGGCAGCAGUGGGGAAUCUUCCGCAAUGGACGAAAGUCUGACGGAGCAACGCCGCGUGAGUGAAGAAGGUCUUCGGCUCGUAAAACUCUGUUUUCAGGGACGAAUGUGUGGAUUGUAAAUAAUGAUCCAUAAUGAAAGGUACCUGACAAG